UACGUAGGGGGCAAGCGUUAUCCGGAAUUACUGGGCGUAAAGGGUGCGUAGGUGGCCUGAUAAGUCAGGGGUCAAAGGCAACGGCUCAACCGUUGUAAGCCCUUGAAACUAUCGGGCUUGAGUUCAGGAGAGGAAAGCGGAAUUCCAAGUGUAGCGGUGAAAUGCGUAGAUAUUUGGAGGAACACCAGUGGCGAAGGCGGCUUUCUGGACUGAUACUGACACUGAGGCACGAAAGCGUGGGGAGCAAACAGGAUUAGAUACCCUGGUAGUCCACGCCGUAAACGAUGAGUACUAGGUGUUGGCCCUAAGGGUCGGUGCCGCAGUUAACACAUUAAGUACUCCGCCUGGGAAGUACGCUCGCAAGAGUGAA
rnacentral:rRNA from 1 species